rnacentral:tRNA from 1 species
GCCGAUGUAGCUCAGGGGUAGAGCGUUUCCUUGGUAAGGAAAAGGUCCUGGGUUCAAAUCCCAGCAUCGGCU